AGGCCUAUGGUGCGGUCCAGAGCCAGGCGCCUGAUGCCUAUGGUGCGGUCCAGAGCCAGGUGCCCGUAUCAAGCAUACAAACUCCUGCAGUACAUGCAGCAUCGUCUAAUGCACCACAGCCCGACCAGUCCAACUUACAGAUCCUCUCUGUAUCCGUUUCUCUGCCUUGCUUUACUGUACUCAACUAUGAAUCAGCUGGCACACAACAAUAAAUAAUGCUUUUAAGUGAAG